rnacentral:rRNA from 1 species
UACGAAGGGGGCUAGCGUUGUUCGGAAUCACUGGGCGUAAAGCGCACGUAGGCGGACAUUUAAGUCAGGGGUGAAAUCCCGAGGCUCAACCUCGGAACUGCCCUUGAUACUGGGUGUCUUGAGUAUGGUAGAGGUUGGUGGAACUGCGAGUGUAGAGGUGAAAUUCGUAGAUAUUCGCAAGAACACCAGUGGCGAAGGCGGCCAACUGGACCAGCACUGACGCUGAGGUGCGAAAGCGUGGGGAGCAAACAGG